GAUGAACGCUAGCGACAGGCCUAACACAUGCAAGUCGAGGGGCAGCACAAGGAGCAAUCUGAGGUGGCGACCGGCGCACGGGUGAGUAACACGUAUGCAACCUACCUGUAAGAGGGGAAUAACCCGUUGAAAAACGGACUAAUACCGCAUAACACUGUAGAACCGCAUGGUUUGACAGUUAAACAUUUAUGGCUUACAGAUGGGCAUGCGCAUGAUUAGCUAGUUGGUGAGGUAACGGCUCACCAAGGCAACGAUCAUUAGGGGUUCUGAGAGGAAGGUCCCCCACACUGGUACUGAGACACGGACCAGACUCCUACGGGAGGCAGCAGUGAGGAAUAUUGGUCAAUGGGCGAGAGCCUGAACCAGCCAAGUCGCGUGAAGGAUGAAGGUUUUAUGAAUUGUAAACUUCUUUUUCAGGGGGAUAAAAUUCUGUAUGUAUACAGGACUGAAGGUACCCUGAGAAUAAGCAUCGGCUAACUCCGUGCCAGCAGCCG
rnacentral:rRNA from 1 species